rnacentral:rRNA from 1 species
UGAGUAACCUGCCCUUAACUCUGGGAUAAGCCUGGGAAACUGGGUCUAAUACCGGAUAUGACUCCUCAUCGCAUGGUGGGGGGUGGAAAGCUUUUUUGUGGUUUUGGAUGGACUCGCGGCCUAUCAGCUUGUUGGUGAGGUAAUGGCUCACCAAGGCGACGACGGGUAGCCGGCCUGAGAGGGUGACCGGCCACACUGGGACUGAGACACGGCCCAGACUCCGUACGGGNGGCAG